CUAANUACGUGCCAGCAGCCGCGGUAAUACGUAGGGUGCGAGCGUUAAUNGGAAUUACUGGGCGUAAAGCGGGCGCAGACGGUUACUUAAGCAGGAUGUGAAAUCCCCGGGCUCAACCUGGGAACUGCGUUNUGAACUGGGUGACUAGAGUGUGUCAGAGGGAGGUAGAAUUCCACGUGUAGCAGUGAAAUGCGUAGAGAUGUGGAGGAAUACCGAUGGCGAAGGCAGCCUCCUGGGAUAACACUGACGUUCAUGCCCGAAAGCGUGGGUAGCAAACAGGAUUAGAUACCCUGGUAGUNCACGCCCUAAACGAUGUCGAUUAGCUGUUGGGCAGCAUGACUGCUUAGUAGCGAAGCUAACGCGUGAAAUCGACCGCCUGGGGAGUACGGUCGCAAGAUUAAAACUCAAAGGAAUUGACGGGGACCCGCACAAGCGGUGGAUGAUGUGGAUUAAUUCGAUGCAACGCGAAGAACCUUACCUGGUCUUGACAUGUACGGAACCCUCCAGAGACGGAGGGGUGCCUUCGGGAGCCGUAACACAGGUGCUGCAUGGCCGUCGUCAGCUCGUGUCGUGAGAUGUUGGGUUAAGUCCCGCAACGAGCGCAACCCUUGUCAUUAGUUGCCAUCAUUAAGUUGGGCACUCUAAUGAGACUGCCGGUGACAAGCCGGAGGAAGGUGGGGAUGACGUCAAGUCCUCAUGGCCCUUAUGACCAGGGCUUCACACGUCAUACAAUGGUCGGUACAGAGGGUAGCCAAGCCGCGAGGUGGAGCCAAUCUCACAAAACCGAUCGUAGUCCGGAUUGCACUCUGCAACUCGAGUGCAUGAAGUCGGAAUCGCUAGUAAUCGCAGGUCAGCAUACUGCGGUGAAUACGUUCCCGGGUCUUGUACACACCGCCCGUCACACCAUGGGAGUGGGGGAUACCAGAAGUAGGUAGGGUA
rnacentral:rRNA from 1 species